CCCCGGGUUCGUCUGCUAUUUAGGCUUUGUGAAAGCACUCACAUAGACAGGCAACAACAAACUCAGUAGAAGAUUUAACGGUGAAGUGUUUAUGAGUGACAGGCUGAUCUGAAGCAGGAAGCAGGUCAACAUGUGAAAAAAGAAACUGACUGAGACACAGUGGUUGUCAGACACAGACAUGCUGAUUUUGACUGACACAGGGACAGGUAAACCAUUAGACAGGUGAACGGACACAGAAAACCAGCAGGUACCUCCGUGUUUGUGUUAACACUGAGGAGCAGAACACAAGAUGUCCUGUCCUUCACCUCCUUCUCCUCCACCUGUCCCGAAGCCUCGAACUUGUUACAUGAGGGACAGUCCGAGCUCUGCCUCCUCUUUGGACAGAGACAUGACUGGUGAAAACCUGCAGCCAGUUUCCUGUGAUGGGGUUCACAUGAGCACAGGUGAAGAUGACCAUCCUCUACCU